rnacentral:lncRNA from 1 species
AUGUUGGAAAACAUGUUACAACAUCAUAUUUAUUCAAGGAAAUCUCGCGCAUUUAUGAGAGCAUCUGCUAUUUAUGGAAAUCCACUUAAAGAGCACGCUCAAUGGAGAUUUGACCUGAUCAGGAGCUUUAAGGAUAAGACAAACUUAAUGGAAUAGCUGGAUGACUUAUCCUAUCAUAUAAAGUCCUUUAAACACUUUUGGAAAGUCUUGAUAUAUCCUUAAUGAAGAUUGAAAAAGUAUCAGAUCACACUUUAUGAUUCUCAAGGAGCGUCUGAGCAUUUGUGAAGUAAGAGG